AACUUUUAUUUUCAUCGUAUUCCUUGAUUGAGGACAAACCCUAAUUUGAGUCUCUGAAGCAUGAUACGGCAAUUAAUUAACAACAGGUCAAUUAGCUCUUGAAAUUGCGCUCCAGUUACACAAAGAAAUUACAGAUCAAAAGAUCAUCAUUCUCAGUAUUAACCACACAUUGAAGGUUUAUGUGUGAAGCAGCAGAAGAAUUUCGUGAGAACCUGGUUAAUCCAUGAGGGCUUUUCAUGAAUUAAAUGCUACUAAAGUUCAUGACAAAGAAACAUGUAUCAUCCAAUGUGGUCUCUCGAAUGGGAUUUCUAUUAGCUACAAGGUACUGCAGAUGGUAUGGGAAAUGUUAGAAAAGAUGAGCUUUUUAGGGCUUCUACUAUCCUUAAGGUUCCUAUCUAACAAGUGACAGUAAUGGAUCAUCCAGACUUUCGGGUAUCAUUCCAUACCAGCAUAUAACUUUUAUCACCAGUUUGUCUAUCAUCUGCUAACCCUAACCCCCCUUUUGAUCUCGUCAGUCUUCUUCUUUCUUCUAUUGGUCUACUUUGAUCAGUUCGGAAGUGCUAAACACUAACGAGCCCACACGAAGAUCCGUGGAGCUAUUGAUGGUUACACCAAUUUGAUCGGUUUAGAAGUGUUUUCACACGAUGAAUAUCACUUAGAUGAUAAGGAAAAGACCCCAAGUCAGAUUCUUUUCGGAAGUUGUUAAGGGUUUAUUAAUUCUGUGAUAUUUGUUUUGUUUAAGGUCUCAAUAUUGAGAAGAGGAGUGGUGACGGCGGUGGGAUGAGUUGCUUUCAGAUGCAAUUACCGAGGUCUCGGACAGUAGCUCUGCAAACAAAAAUUUGGAUAAAGAUUUGGUUUUUUUUGUCUAAAGAUGCUGAAAAUGACGGUGAGAGAGUCUGUCGUUGUUCUACGAUUUUAGAGGUGUUUGGAAUUGUGUUUUUUAAAAGUGAUUAUCUGAUAAGUGUGAAUGGUUUUUGGGCAUAGUACAACUGAUCUUCAAUUAUAUUGAUAAGUUUUGAAGCA